GUUUGCUUCAGCAACACAUACACUAAAAUUGGAACAAUAUAGAAAAUAUUAGCAUGGUCCCUGCCCAACAAUGACAUGCAAAUACAUGAACAUUCCAUAUUUUU